rnacentral:rRNA from 1 species
GAUGAACGCUAGCUACAGGCUUAACACAUGCAAGUCGAGGGGCAUCAGGAAGAAAGCUUGCUUUCUUUGCUGGCGACCGGCGCACGGGUGAGUAACACGUAUCCAACCUGCCCUUUACUCGGGGAUAGCCUUUCGAAAGAAAGAUUAAUACCCGAUAGCAUAAUGAUUCCGCAUGGUUUCAUUAUUAAAGGAUUCCGGUAAAGGAUGGGGAUGCGUUCCAUUAGGUUGUUGGUGAGGUAACGGCUCACCAAGGCGACGAUGCGUAGCCGACCUGAGAGGGUGACCGGCCACACUGGGACUGAGACACGGCCCAG